CCACAUACAAGAGAUGACACAAAAUAGAUUACUGCAGAAACUCGUAGCUUUCAAGAAGGCUGAUCCGGUCCUCAGAAAAACCCUGGACCCUUCUACGUAAUUUCUUCUUCGUCUCUCUCGUGUCGACAAAGUCGUUUCUAUUUGAGAAAUGGUAAAGUUAUCUAAUAGAAGAGUGUAAUCUUAACAAGAGUGCGUACAGAUAGCAGAAUGGUCCAUCUGCUUCCGAUGCAUUCUCUUGGUCAACCCUUCUUAGCGUCCAGGUUCACAAUUUUGCUUGUUCUUCUAGUUGUUCCUGUUCAACAAUCAUUAAGCAAUCGUGUAGACAUCGAAAACAAAUGAACAAUUUUUACUAGAUCAUGGACUUCUUUCAUGUUUGCAUCAAAGUUCAUGUUAAGUGAAGGGAACAUAUUAUAAUGAACAACCUUCUCUUUUA